GGGAAGCGAAGAGGCAGCAACUUUUUGGAUUUGGUCGGCUGCACGGAUAAAGGAUAGUGAAGGAGAAAGCUGAAUGAAAAGAAGCGAGCAAAUGGCGUAUGGCCCUGGGCUUGACUAUAUGGAAGGAAUGAAGACGCUGGAAGUCUGAGCCCGAGUUUUGGCAGAGACCUAUGGCCAGCUUGUCCAAGAGCUAUGACGAGGAAACACAAUCAUCCUUCUGCGUUUCCCCCGCUUCGAGGGACGGAUCAUAGAUUCCAGGUUUUCCCUCAACAACACUUAUAAGUGCCAAUCAAGUUACUUUAAAGUGCAGAAAGGUUGCCUUACUAAUGCAGGUAAUUUUAUCAAAUGGCACCUAUAAAUUGGGAAAUAUUGAGCAUUCAUGAAAUGUGGAAAUGUUUAAGUAAAUUAUAACAAUUAUUUAUUUUUCAUGCACCAAAAUGACAAUUCAUGUACGACAAUAAGUUC